rnacentral:rRNA from 1 species
AGGACGAACGCUGGCGGCGUGCUUAACGCAUGCAAGUCGAGCGGUAAGGCCUUUCGGGGUACACGAGCGGCGAACGGGUGAGUAACACGUGGGUGAUCUGCCCUGCACUUCGGGAUAAGCCUGGGAAACUGGGUCUAAUACCGGAUAUGACCUCAGGUUGCAUGACUUGGGGUGGAAAGAUUUAUCGGUGCAGGAUGGGCCCGCGGCCUAUCAGCUUGUUGGUGGGGUAAUGGCCUACCAAGGCGACGACGGGUAGCCGACCUGAGAGGGUGACCGGCCACACUGGGACUGAGACACGGCCCAGACUCCUACGGGAGGCAGCAGUGGGGAAUAUUGCACAAUGGGCGAAAGCCUGAUGCAGCGACGCCGCGUGAGGAUGACGGCCUUGGGUUGUAAACCUCUUUCAGCAGGACGAAGCGCAAGUGACGGUACCUGCAGAAGAAGCACCGGACUAACUACGUGACCAGCAGCCGAC